AACAGGAAACCAAGCAUCAAUCAAAAAAUUAUUCUCUUUUUUAUUUGUGCUACUUAAAUUUGUUUUGGGCUACCAAAAACCCUUCCCUGCCCGAAGGGUUACCAGGGAUUUUGAGAUUUUGCGAGGAGUGUAGUAAUGUUUAUUUGCUCUGCUUUUUUUUGUAAGGGGUAAAAUAUGUCUAUAUACUUUUUGUGUCCCAGCUGAGUAACAGGAGGAGAAGAGUCUGGUGGAGCAGCGGAAGGACAAUUUCAGCCAUUUGGACUCAGCUCAGCCACUGCAGAGGAAACAAUGACUUCAACACAAAAGGACCAACAUGGAGCAAGAAGUCAGCGCUCUCAGGAGGCCGACAAACCUCACAGAAGAAAGGGAGA